UAAACGACUCUCGGCAACGGAUAUCUCGGCUCACGCAUCGAUGAAGAACGUAGCAAAAUGCGAUACUUGGUGUGAAUUGCAGAAUCCCGUGAACCAUCGAGUUUUUGAACGCAAGUUGCGCCCGAAGCCUUUUGGUUGAGGGCACGUCUGCCUGGGUGUCACAC
rnacentral:rRNA from 1 species